rnacentral:Y_RNA from 1 species
GGCUGAUCCAAAGGGAAUGAGUUAUCUCAAUUGAUUAAUCACAGUCAGUUACAGAUUGAACUCUUUGUUCUACUCUUUGCCCCCUUCUCACUAUUGCACUUGACUACUCUUAAAAAA